GCUGCAUUAUUUGACGUUAGCGACAGAAGAAGCACCGGCUAACUCCGUGCCAGCAGCCGCGGUAAUACGGAGGGUGCGAGCGUUAAUCGGAAUUACUGGGCGUAAAGCGCAUGCAGGUGGUUUGUUAAGUCAGAUGUGAAAGCCCGGGGCUCAACCUCGGAAUUGCAUUUGAAACUGGCAGACUAGAGUACUGUAGAGGGGGGUAGAAUUUCAGGUGUAGCGGUGAAAUGCGUAGAGAUCUGAAGGAAUACCGGUGGCGAAGGCGGCCCCCUGGACAGAUACUGACACUCAGAUGCGAAAGCGUGGGGAGCAAACAGGAUUAGAUACCCUGGUAGUCCACGCCGUAAACGAUGUCUACUUGGAGGUUGUGGCCUUGAGCCGUGGCUUUCGGAGCUAACGCGUUAAGUAGACCGCCUGGGGAGUACGGUCGCAAGAUUAAAACUCAAAUGAAUUGACGGGGGCCCGCACAAGCGGUGGAGCAUGUGGUUUAAUUCGAUGCAACGCGAAGAACCUUACCUACUCUUGACAUCCAGAGAACUUUCCAGAGAUGGAUUGGUGCCUUCGGGAACUCUGAGACAGGUGCUGCAUGGCUGUCGUCAGCUCGUGUUGUGAAAUGUUGGGUUAAGUCCCGCAACGAGCGCAACCCUUAUCCUUGUUUGCCAGCGAGUAAUGUCGGGAACUCCAGGGAGACUGCCGGUGAUAAACCGG
rnacentral:rRNA from 1 species